GUUAAAUUUGCAAAAGAGGUUUGAUGGCUGUUCUGUUAUGACUGUGUGGUAGCUCAUUAAAGCUGGGUCUCAAGAAAAGGGUGCAAACUGCAGGCAAACGGAACCUGCAGUUUACAUCAUGUAGAAGUCAGAGCCCCUGGAAUGCAUCUACAAAUUGAAGACUUUGUCAUUCAAGUGACCUAAAUUACAGGGACUUGAACUUGCAGCUCCUGCUCUUCCUGUGAGUGACCUAACCACCUAAUAUUGGCUAUUCUGGACCUGUGAAACCUUCCCGAUGAAAGUUUUUUUCAUCAAAACUGAUACAUUUCUGUGAAAACUUUUUAUGACUCAGCAUCGGGUUACUAGCUGCAGUUAUUGUCUUUGCCUGAUAGCUUGCAGAUCAGGUUCUCUUGGUGGAAUUAAAUGAUAAAGUGCAACUUCUGCAAAUGAUAGGAGGUUCUGAGCUGUCUGUUUUACACGUAGGUGCGUACUCCAAUGUGUAAUGAAUCCCAUAGACUAGCAACUUUCCCAAAUACACUAGCUCACCAAAUCAUAAUCCAAGUGAUUCAAUGUAGAGUAGUAGGAAGUACAGAGAACUUGAAGGUGUAAAAUAUAUACAAAUGAUCUUGUAAUGGCUUCCACUUGCCAUUGUUCCAGGAGUUUGCCUGUCAGAGUAAAUUUAAAAAAAAGGUCCUUAUUCCACUUGUGACACCCUGUCGGAUAGAUCUUUAGGCAGUAUAGAGAGUGCAUUAGAUCACAGGAAGGAAACAUAAAGCAGUUCUGAAGCACAUUGCCAAACCUCAGAACUUUUAACAUAAGAAAUUGAAAUAGCUUUUCAUACAGUAAAAUGGAAUUCUCAGCAUCACUAGAGAUGAAGGAGGGAUGCUUUUGCUAUAGUCUUAACUGAAUCAAGUUAAUGAGGUUACAAAGAGAAUGCUGCGGUAAUAUACACUCUGAGGCAGAUUAAUACAUCUUUUAGUGACACUUUAACAUGCAUACCAAAGUUUUGAUGUCAACAUUUAUGAACAAAAUAGGUCAGUAAAAUUUGCAGAUUUGAAAACCUAUGCCCAUAUUAGCUCUCAGGAAGUUUCUAUUUCUGGUGCAUAACUGAAUGUGCUGCAUUAGCAUAUUGACUGAAUUCAAUACAUGUGCCAUCAAGUAAAAUGAAAAGUUGAGGGAGAAAAAAAAAACUAAGAAACCAUUUGAACCCGAGACUUUGCUAAGGGAUGCUAUUUUAAAGGUCAAUGUUGGAACCAAAAAAUGCAUCUCCUUUGUGAUGUAUAAAGACAACCUAAAUAUUUGAGCAGUUUUGUUUUCCUGAUUGUUUUACUUUUGAAAUAUUAAGUCCUCACUUUACUCUUUUCUGUAGAACCUCAACAACAUAUUUGGAGGACUUGAAUAGUAAUAUAACCUGAACAGCACCUCUUCCUUUCACAGCUGCAUAGGGAGAAGGUUCUGAUUUCUAAACAGUUUUAGCCUUGGGUGAUGUGCCUUCAGGUUCCCCAUAGUUUCCAGUGUCCUGCAGUAAAGUGAAGACUUGCUAUUACUAAUGUAAAACAAAUCAAGCAGAAUUAAAACAAACAAACAAACAAACUUUUAAACAUCGUAAAGAAGUAGUAUGACCAGAAAAUUAGUUUGUUUUUAUUUUUGCAUUGCCACUCAUCUUUGACAAUGUUAAUUCUGAUUCACUUGUAAGGCAACAGUUUUAAUCUCUAAAGAAGUUACAGGUCUGACUUCUAGGCUAAAACCUCACCCUUAGAAAGGAGGCUGCUGAAGUCAUUUCUUGCCUUUGGAGUGAUUCACU